rnacentral:rRNA from 1 species
GACGAACGCUGGCGGCGUGCUUAACACUUGCAAGUCGAGCGGAAAGGCCCUUUCGGGGGUACUCGAGCGGCGAACGGGUGAGUGACACGUGAGUAAUCUGCCCUCCACUCUGGGAUAACGUUCAGAAAUGGGUGCUAAUACCGGAUGUACACAGGCUGACGCAUGUUGGUGUGUGGAAAGGUUUUCUGGUGGGGGAUGUG